rnacentral:rRNA from 1 species
AACGAACGCUGGCGGCAGGCUUAACACAUGCAAGUCGAACGAGAUCUUCGGAUCUAGUGGCAGACGGGUGAGGAACACGCGGGAACAUCCCUUUCAGUUCGGAAUAACGUUGGGAAACUAACGCUAAUACCGGAUACGUCCUUCGGGAGAAAGAUUUAUCGCCAUGGGAAUGGUCUGCGUCUGAUUAGCUAGUUGGUAGGGUAAAGGCCUACCAAGGCGAUGAUCAGUAGCUGGUUUGAGAGGAUGAUCAGCCACACUGGAACUGAGACACGGUCCAGACUCCUACGGGAGGCAGCAGUAGGGAAUUUUCCACAAUGGGCGAAAGCCUGAUGGAGCAAUGCCGCGUGCGGGAUGAAGGUCUUAGGACUGUAAACCGCUUUUAUAUGUGAAGAUUAUGACGGUAGCAUAUGAAUAAGGAUCGGCUAACUACGUGCCAGCCGCCGCAGUAA